AUACGUAUGUCGCAAGCGUUAUCCGGAUUUAUUGAGCGUAAGGCGCGUCUAGGCGGCUUAGUAAGUCUGACGUGAGAAUGCGGGGCUCAACCCCGUAUUGCGUUGGAAACUGCUAAACUAGAGUACUGGAGAGGUAGGCGGAACUACAAGUGUAGAGGUGAAAUUCGUAGAUAUUUGUAGGAAUGCCGAUGGGGAAGCCAGCCUACUGGACAGAUACUGACGCUAAAGCGCGAAAGCGUGGGUAGCAAACAGGAUUAGAUACCCUGGUAGUCCACGCCGUAAACGAUGAUUACUAGGUGUUGGGGGUCGAACCUCAGCGCCCAAGCUAACGCGAUAAGUAAUCCGCCUGGGGAGUACGUACGCAAGUACGAAACUCAAAUGAAUUGGCGGGG
rnacentral:rRNA from 1 species